rnacentral:tRNA from 2 species
GGGAAUAUAUGGGUAGCUGGUGCGCCCCCUGGUCUUCAAAACCAGUGCUGGUGGUUAAUAGCCGCCUAGGUGGGUUCGAUUCCCACAUAUUCCCGCCA